rnacentral:rRNA from 1 species
GUUUAACUGUCCUAAAGGGUUGUUCGAGACUAGAACGUUGAUAGGCAGGGUGUGUAAGCGUUGUGAGGCGUUGAGCUAACCUGUACUAAUUGCCCGUGAGGCUUAACCAUACAACACCCAAGGGGUUUUGUA